rnacentral:rRNA from 1 species
GACGAACGCUGGCGGCGUGCCUAACACAUGCAAGUCGAGCGGAGUCAGUAAGAGGAAGUUUUCGGAUGGAAUCUUAUUGAUUUAGCGGCGGACGGGUGAGUAACGCGUGAGCGACCAACCUUGCACAGGGGGAUAACGGACCGAAAGGUUCACUAAUACCGCAUGAGACCACGGUGUUGCAUGACACAGGGGUCAAAGGAGCAAUCCGGUGCAAGACGGGCUCGCGUCCGAUUAGGUAGUUGGAGGGGUAACGGCCCACCAAGCCUAUGAUCGGUAGCCGACCUGAGAGGGUGAUCGGCCACAUUGAAACUGAGAUACGGUCCAAACACCUACGGGAGGCAGCAGUGGGGAAUAUUGGGCAAUGGGGGAAACCCUGACCCAGCAACGCCGCGUGAAGGAAGAAGGUUUUCGGAUUGUAAACUUCUGUCCUUGGUGAAGAGAAGAAGACGGUAGCCAAGGAGGAAGCCCCGGCUAACUACGUGCCAGCAGCCGCAGUAA